GAAUCAAAGAAGGUAAUAAUCCUGUAGUCGAAAAUGUUGUCUCUCUUGAGUGGAUCCUGAGUACGACGGAGCACGUGAAAUUCCGUCGGAAUCUGGGAGGACCAUCUCCUAAGGCUAAAUACUCUCUAGUGACCGAUAGUGAACCAGUACCGUGAGGGAAAGGUGAAAAGCACCCCGGAAGGGGAGUGAAAUAGAACCUGAAACCGUGUGCUUACAAGUAGUCAGAGCCCGUUAAUGGGUGAUGGCGUGCCUUUUGUAGAAUGAACCGGCGAGUUACGAUUUGAUGCAAGGUUAAGCAGUAAAUGUGGAGCCGUAGCGAAAGCGAGUCUGAAUAGGGCGUUUAGUAUUUGGUCGUAGACCCGAAACCAGGUGAUCUACCCUUGGUCAGGUUGAAGUUCAGGUAACACUGAAUGGAGGACCGAACCGACUUACGUUGAAAAGUGAGCGGAUGAACUGAGGGUAGCGGAGAAAUUCCAAUCGAACCUGGAGAUAGCUGGUUCUCUCCGAAAUAGCUUUAGGGCUAGCCUCAAGUGAUGAUUAUUGGAGGUAGAGCACUGUUUGGACGAGGGG
rnacentral:rRNA from 1 species